GCCGGGCACUGCGCCGUGGCCAUCGCCACGCGCCUCUACAUCUGGAGCGGCCGCGACGGCUACCGCAAGGCCUGGAACAACCAGGUGUGCUGCAAGGACCUCUGGUACCUGGAGACAGGUGAGCACGGGGGCUGCAGGGACCUGGGGGGGCUGCAGGGACCUGUGGUACCUGGAGCUGGUCAGGGCUAACACCAGGUGUGUCUCAGGUGUACGCAGGUGUAUCUCAGGUGUACCCAGGUACAGCCAGGUGUAUCCCAGGUGUAACACAGGUGUGUUACUCCCCCCACAGAGCGCCCCCGGCCCCCAGCCGCGUCCAGCUGGUCAGGGCUAACACCAGCUGUAUCUCAGGUGUAUCUCAGGUGUACCUCACCUGUACCCAGGUGUAUCUCAGGUGUAACCCCCUCUCUCCACAGAGCGCCCUCCGGCCGCAUCUCAGGUGUACCCAGGUGUACCCAGGUGUAUCUCAGGUGUACCCAGGUGUAUCUCAGGUGUACCCAGGUGUAUCUCAGGUGUACCCAGGUGUAUCUCAGGUGUACCCAGGUGUAUCUCAGGUGUACCCAGGUGUAUCUCAGGUGUACCCAGGUGUAUCUCAGGUGUACCCAGGUGUAUCUCAGGUGUACCCAGGUGUAUCUCAGGUGUACCCAGGUGUAUCUCAGGUGUAACCAGGUGUACCCAAGUGUAUCUCAGGUGUACCCAGGUGUAUCUCAGGUGUACCCAGGUACAGCCAGGUGUAACCAGGUGCGUUACUCUCCCCGCAGAGCGCCCCCCGGCCCCCGGCCGCGUCCAGCUGGUGCGGGCCAACACCACGUCGCUGGAGGUGAGCUGGGGCGCGGUGCCCACGGCCGACUCGUACCUGCUGCAGCUGCAGAAGUACGAGCUGCCCCCCCCCCCCCCCCCCCCCCCCCCCCCCCCCCCCCCCCCCCCCCCCCCCCCCCCCCCCCCCCCCCCCCCCCCC
rnacentral:lncRNA from 12 species